ACGGGUGAGUAACACGUAGGUAACCUACCCUUCAGUGGGGGACAACAGAGGGAAACUUCUGCUAAUACCGCAUACGAUCACGGACUGGGAUGUUCGUGGUGAAAGGAUUUAUUCGCUGAGGGAUGGGCCUGCGGCCUAUCAGGUAGUUGGUGGGGUAAUGGCCUACCAAGCCUGCGACGGGUAGCCGGACUGAGAGGUCGAUCGGCCACACUGGAACUGAGACACGGUCCAGACUCCUACGGGAGGCAGCAGUGGGGAAUAUUGCACAAUGGGGGAAACCCUGAUGCAGCGACGCCGCGUGGAGGAUGACGGUCUUCGGGUUGUAAACUCCUUUUGUCGGGGACAAUGGUGAUGGUACCCGACGAAUAAGCCACGGCUAACUCUGUGCCAGCAGCCGCGGUAAGACAGAGGUGGCGAGCGUUGUUCGGAAUUACUGGGCUUAAAGGGCGCGUAGGCGGUGGUGUAAGUCUAGGGUGGAAUGCUACAGCUCAACUGUAGAGCUGCCUUGGAAACUGCAUUACUUGAGUCGGUGAGGGGAAGGUGGAAUUCCAGGU
rnacentral:rRNA from 1 species